UACGUAGGGUGCGAGCGUUGUCCGGAAUUACUGGGCGUAAAGAGCUCGUAGGUGGCUUGUCGAGUUGUCCGUGAAAACUCACAGCUUAACUGUGGGCGUGCGGGCGAUACGGGCAGACUGGAGUACUGCAGGGGAGACUGGAAUUCCUGGUGUAGCGGUGGAAUGCGCAGAUAUCAGGAGGAACACCGGUGGCGAAGGCGGGUCUCUGGGCAGUAACUGACGCUGAGGAGCGAAAGCGUGGGGAGCGAACAGG
rnacentral:rRNA from 1 species